GAAAAUUAAAACCGUACUGAGAUUCCAUCUCAGUCCAGUCAGAAUGGCAACUAUUAACAACAAAUGUUGGCGAGGAUGUGGGGAAAGGGAUACACUCAUACACUGCUGGUGGGACUGCAAAUGGGUGCAACCACUCUGGAAAACAGUAUAGACAUUCCUUAGAACACUUGGAAUGGAACCACCAUUUAACCCGGUUAUCCCCCUCCUUGGUAUAUACCCAAACGAGUUAAAAUCAGCAUACUAUAGUGACAGAGCCACAUCAAUGUUUAUAGCAGCUCAAUUCACAAUAUCUAAGCUAUGGAACCAAACUAAUUGCCCUUCAACAGAUGAAUGUAUAAAGAAAAUGUGGUACAUAUACACAAUAGAAUAUCACUCAGCCAUAAAGAAGAAUGAAAUUAUGGCACUUGUUGGUAAAUGGAUAGAAC
rnacentral:lncRNA from 1 species